GGGGAUAUGGCGAAAUUGGUAGACGCUACGGACUUAAUUAGAUUGAGCCUUGGUAUAGAAACUUACUAAGUGAUGACUUUAAAAAUCGUGAGGGUUCAAGUCCCUCUCCUUUCA
rnacentral:tRNA from 1 species